UACAGAGGUCUCAAGCGUUGUUCGGAUUCAUUGGGCGUAAAGGGUGCGUAGGUGGCGCCGUAAGGCGGGCGUGAAAUUUCGGAGCUUAACUCCGAAACUGCAUUCGAUACUGCGGUGCUUGAGGACUGGAGAGGAGACUGGAAUUCAUGGUGUAGCAGUGAAAUGCGUAGAUAUCAGGAGGAACACCGGUGGCGAAGGCGGUUCUCUGGGCAUUACCUGACGCUGAGGAGCGAAAGCGUGGGGAGCGAACAGG
rnacentral:rRNA from 1 species